CAGUAGCCGCGGUAAUACAGAGGGUCCGAGCGUUAAUCGGAUUUACUGGGCGUAAAGCGUGCGUAGGCGGCUUCUUAAGUCGGAUGUGAAAUCCCUGAGCUUAACUUAGGAAUUGCAUUCGAUACUGGGAAGCUAGAGUAUGUGAGAGGAUGGUAGAAUUCCAGGUGUAGCGGUGAAAUGCGUAGAGAUCUGGAGGAAUACCGAUGGCGAAGGCAGCCAUCUGGCCUAAUACUGACGCUGAGGUACGAAAGCAUGGGGAGCAAACAGGAUUAGAUACCCCGGUAGUCCCUGUCUCUUAUAC
rnacentral:rRNA from 1 species